GUGUCGCGCGCUGCCCCGCGGCUCCCCGCGCGUGUCCGCUGGAAUGCGGGCAGCUCCUGCGGCCGGACCGCGGAGAAUUACGCAAAAGCCCGCGAAUGAAUAACACGUCCCACUGACCGCGAGCGGGCUCCUGUCUGCUACUCGGCUGGCCGCUAGAACCAGCCGAGAGCCUACUGGUACCCAUAAGUUAAGGAGGGACCCCCGGCCGUACCGGCGGCGGGGCAGCGCUCCCUCUCAGCCCGGCUCCGCCCUCCCGCCGGGCCCGCUCUGGAGGCAGGAAUUCCUGUUCCUUCCUGCAAAGAUGGAAAUGGUAAAAUGCUUGAACUAGAAAAAAACAUUUAUGUGUGAAGACCAAUUCAUCUGCAACAGCUGCUCUGAAAGUAAUGCUUCCUAUUUUACUGUGUUGGCAGACAAUAUCAGACAUGGAUGUUGGUGGUACAGCAGUAGAGCUUGAAGCUUGUAUGGAAACUGCUGAGUCACGGCCUGAACCUCUGAUUGAUCACCGGAGGCGAGCCAUGAGUCAGCCAGAGGAGCACAGCUGAAGGCAAUUCACCUGUGCUGUCGCAAGGGGUGGAGCCUGGCUGCACCCCUCCUAGACCUGUUUAAGAGCUGGCUACCAGUGGGGAAGGAUCUGUCCUGGAGAUUGGCUCUGCUGGAGUUUUGUGAGUGAGCCUAGGAUAAGGUUUGUUGCUGUGUGACAGAUGGCAGCAGAGGGGCAGCCUGGCAGAAUGGCAUGUGACAUGGGAUGUGUAUGAAGCAAAGGUUUGUCACUGAAUUCCUCCACGCAGAAAGCAUGGCACCCAUUGACAUUAACUGAAUUUGCUGAAUGUUUAUGGAAACCUAACAGUGGAUAUGAGCACAUUGAGGCGGUGGGUGGUGCAUUUCAGCAAUGGUGACAGUGGGCUACCUCUGGUGCAGAUUUGUACAAGCAUGGCAUGCAGGCUCUUGUUUGCUUGCAAAGAUGCGUAUCUAGUGGUGGUGACUAUGCUGAGAAAUAGCAUUCUGUAGCUGAGAAUUUGCUCAAAUAGUGUUACUGUGCGCUCUGCAUCUGUUAUGGUUUCCAUAGAAACAAACAGGAGGCAUUACUUUCAGAACAGCCUAUAUACCAGAUCCAGUAACAUCAAUUUAUUUUCCUUGGUAUUGCUGUUAUUAUGAAGAUGAAAACAAUUAUUCACAUUGUUGUCCAUCUAGAAAAAUAUUUACAGAUGUCUAUUUUUAAAUAUUUUCAGCGCUAUUUUUGUAUCUUUCGUGUAAAGAUUGAAUAAUUGCUGUAGUUUUAUGGUAACAAUUGCUACUUGAUUGUAAGACAAUAUAAAGUACUUUUAUCUUAAAAAAAUUUAAAAAAAAAUCACUUGCCUAUUCUUUAGGAUUGUAAAAUGAAGAUUCUUUUCUGAGUGAAGCCAUAACCAACUCACAUAGGUGAACUGUCUGACUAAUUAUAAAGCUUAUGUAAGAACAGACGUGCCAUAUUUAUCUUGAUUUAAGAUUGGAAGAACCCAGGUGAGCUUUCUCACUGUUCCCAUGCUUUAACAAUGCAGAGUAAGUGGCCCGGGAUCUAAUUUUCCCUCCUUAUUGAAUUGUGGUCAUGACAACCGUCUGUAGAAGGGUAAACUUUACAGUACUGUCUUGUUCAAGGGUAUCAUGUCGGUGUUAUGCUGUGUGAUACAGUUAGGUAAUGGAAAAUAAUACUGUACAGCUGCUUAUGCCUUUCUGUGCGUUUUCUUUUGUUUACUUGAUAUUUAU